rnacentral:lncRNA from 1 species
GUGGUGUGUAUUAAGAUGUGGUUCAGCAUCCAUCAUUUCAGUAAGUGACUUGCGUUUAAGUUCGUGAUAAACUGAAUGACAGUUGCUUCAAACGGAUGUUUUAUGGACAAUGUGCAGCCCAAAAAAUACUUAGCCAAACCGUGUGGCAAAUGCAUGGAAAGCUGUGAUAGGGAAUGAAUAAGGAGUAAGCACCCUUCAUUUGUAACGAAUGUUAUGCAACAGCAGAGUUCUCAGUACCCUUUUCGGUAUCUGGAGGAUGCAUGAGGUAUCUCGCGCUUACUUUAUUUCAUGCAGUAAACACAAUUUUAUGGACGGGAUUUUCUUCCAGUCUAGUCCAAGUCCUCUGAGAGAUCCUACAGAGCAAAAAUUUUGGAACCAUGCUGUUCUGUUUAUGUAUUACUUUAAGUUGCCAUUGCACAGAAAUAAAACUCCUGGUAGCUAUUUGGGGCAAUGACAUGCAGGUUCCUUUUUCUAUCUUGGCUGACACCAGGGAAGCAAUUUCUGGUUUUGAUUAGCUGCCUACUAUGACUUUCAGGCUGGUUGCUUUAGGAUGACCUCUACUUAAAUUGUGAGGAAAUGGAGUUGAUUUUCAGCUGCCUCCCUGUUGACUGGUGCUCUGGACUCUGCACUUCUCACGGAUGGCAGUGCAGCGCAUCCUGUGGUUAAGGUGCGGGACCUUGCCAUUGUUUGUGGUUCCGAAUUUGUUUUAAGUUAUCUUUCUAUUUUGGCUGGGUGAAUUUGGGCCUGACAUUUGUAGGUUUUUAGUGAGGUUAAUAGGAAGGGUGAAUUUGGUCAGUUGUGCCUCCAUAAGUCUGAGAGUAGUGUAACAUGGAGGUAGGAAUUUGAAAACAGGAAUAGUGAAAUCCAGUUGGGAACAGAUCUGUAGUUUCUGCUGAGAGAAGGGUCCUCUCAGUCAGCUGCUGUAUUCCCAAAGCAAAGUAGGCCUGGUACUGAGUCAGCAUUUGAACUCUUUAAAUAUUGUUGGAAGUAAGAAGAUUCAUUCGUUACCUUAUGCUUUGUUUUCUUUUGCCCUACAGGCAAUCCCGAAUGGUGAUCUUGCUUGCAUUCAGCUGGAGGGUGGGACUGACAAAGAAAUCUGUAUGAAUGGAGGUGACAAACGAAAUUUCAAUUAAUACCCCAUCCUGUUAAGUCUGUAGUAGAAGCCUUUAACAAAUCCACAGAAGUUUGGACAGGCAGAAAGGUCAGCAAUUGAAGUAAUCCAAUCAAGGUUGACACGUUCAUCUUGCUCAUAAUGUUGUCUUGGGAAUCUGCAGAAAAAUCAGCUGCGUUGUUAGCUGUAUAGUUCUAGUACCAACCAGUUCUUCCUUAGACUGGAAUUUUUAACUUCUGCUUGAGGAUACUUAAGGAUUUUUUUAGGGAUAUUAAACAACUGUUGGCAUAAUGUAUUACGCAAAAAUAUAAUGCAACAUACAACAUAAUUUCUUGAGGCACAC